AUGCUCUGCAUAUAUAGCCUAGAUGAGACAGUCUUGGCGUUCCAUAAUUUAACCCAACUACAAAGCUUGACUAUUAAAAAUUGCCCACCUCUGGCGGAGAAACACCUUCAAAUGCUGACCUCGUUGAAGACCCUCGACAUAGAUGGUUCAAGCAUUACGUUCCAGCAAGUUGGGGAGGCCGUUCUUUGGCAGCUUCCAGUUAACAGGUUAGAGAUAAACGGUAGGUGGAGUGGUAGCUGGAAGGAAGUGACACGUCUACUCACUCAUCUCCCUGAGCUCUCUCACUUGUCUAUAUGUGGAAGGGGAUGUGAGAAGGUAUUGACAGGGUUGGGCCUGGACGUGCAGCAACAAACAGCAGCAUCUUCAGCUGCUAAAUUGCAGCAGCAGGAUACAUAUAGAACAACAGAUCCACAACAAGAAAUAGCGCAGGAGGUCGUCGUUGUGGAUGAAGAAGAAAGAGAAGAUGACGACGACGGGCUGCUGCUCUUACCGCCGGCCCAUCUGUCCUACUCUCUCCAGGAGUUGGGCAUCGAAGAUUGUCCAGAGCUUGUCCUCAGGAGCCACGGGACAGGUCUGCAAUUCAUGGGCUCCCUCAACACAAUGAACUUCUUGUCUGCCUUGGAUCUCUGCCCUUUCCCGUCCACCCUGCAAUCCCUCAGCCUUGGAGGUGGUAUGGAGGGCAUGGAGACGCUGGCUCCCCUCUCCAACCUCACCUCUCUCGAGACGUUAAGCAUUCGGGAUUUGGGGGAUGCUUUUAGGUGCGACGGCUUGCUGCCUCUCCUUACCCAAGGUCAGCUCACCGCAUUAAGUGUCAGCGACAGCCCCAAAUUCUUUGCUGGCAUUCAGGGUCCCGCUCCCGCACAGGCGGUCUCCAAACUGCAGGAACUCGUGACGGAUGACAUCGCAACAGUCUUAACUGCGCCCAUCUGCCGCCUCCUCUCUUCCUCCCUCACCAAAUUAUCCUUUCAUGAUAAAGAGGUGGAUCGCUUCAGCAAGGAGCAAGAGGAGGCUCUUUCUCUCCUCACCUCCCUCCAGGGGCUCAAAUUUGGGUGGUGCACCAAGCUGCGGUGCCUCCCAGCCAUGAAGUCGCUGCACAAGCUCACCAACCUCAAGAGAUUGGAGAUCUGGUACUGUCCAGCCAUGAGGUCGCUGCCAAAGAAUGGCCUCCCCACCUCGCUGCAAGAGUUAGAGGUCUUCAGAUGCACCAACCUCCGGUGUCUCCCAGAAGGGCUGCACAAGCUCACCAACCUCAGGAUACUGGUACUGUCCAGCCAUGAGGUCGCUGCCAAAGAAUGGCCUUCCCACCUCGCUGCAAGAGUUAGAUGUCCGCGAUUGCAAAAAUGA
rnacentral:rRNA from 1 species